rnacentral:rRNA from 1 species
UACCAGCACCCCGAGUGGUCGGGACGAUUAUUGGGCCUAAAGCAUCCGUAGCCGGUUCUGCAAGUCCUCCGUUAAAUCCAGCUGCUCAACAGAUGGGCCGCGGAGGAUACUACAGAGCUAGGAGGCGGGAGAGGCAAGCGGUACUUAGUGGGUAGGGGUAAAAUCCGUUGAUCCAUUGAAGACCACCAGUGGCGAAGGCGGCUUGCCAGAACGCACUCGACGGUGAGGGAUGAAAGCUGGGGGAG